UCCGAAUUGGUGUAGUGGCCAACAUUUGACGCUCUCAACUGUAUCGCAAGAUGUAGAACAGUACCGUCAAGCCCGGGGUUCGAUUCCCCGAUUCGGAG